rnacentral:lncRNA from 1 species
UUAAUCAUGAAAUACUCCUGGAAAAUUCAGCCAUUUAUGACAAUCAUCGUAUCAACAUAAACACCCUCAUGGGUCAAUAAUGGAUCGUUUCAGUGAGUGUGGUGUGUACGGACCUCGGCCGGGAUGGUAAAUGACCGACAAGAAGGCUUCCAUGAGGAAAUCUACAAGGGAACUCCACUACUAGGGUUGAAAGGUACAGUACUGUUUUGCAGCUCCUAGGAAAAACAUGCAUGUAGCUGUGGAAAAAUGAAGAUCGUCCAAGUUCAGCCCUGCCUGAACUAUAGUUUUUAAGCACCAAUCAAUAACAAAA